GGUUCAAGGGCAUGGAAUAUGUCAUUCUGAGAAUUCUCCACGCAAGCCAUUUAGCCUCCAGUGUCCGAAGCAGCCACCGGAAGUGAACAAAACUUUUAAAACAGGCGUACAAACCUACCUCAGCAGCCGAUGGGGUUACCCUCCCAAUAAGCCCGUCUUUAAGUUGAAGAUAUCCCUAAGUCGACAAUGCAUCUAAUACACCUAACCCACCGAGUAUCAGCUCGUGCACAGAACACUUAAAUUAGCCUCAACUGGGCCAAAUCAUCUAACACCAAGUGUUGAGAAUCUCCUCUAGCUUACUGGCUACUGUACCCAAGUGAAAACCAGAAUGGUUGCAUGGGCGCAAAAUGGCUGGAGUGUAUCCGCUGUUUACCCCACUGACGGCGUGGCUGACUGCGAGCCGAGGCCUGUCGCCGCUCCCAGCAUCCCGAGAGAGGAUCGUGGGAUACAUCACUAGCUCAGGAAAAGAUCCAGAUUCGGAAUCCGAAGUUUGAUUUCUACUGAAUAUGUAUCGCUCUCACACCAUCACAAAGUCGAAAAAUUGUAUGUCGAACUGUUGUUACGUCAGGGACCAUCUGGAUUCCUUAAUUGCUCUCUCCCAUUACCAAUGUGGCAAGAGAGGUCACUCUGAACAGGACACAGUGGAGCAGCCUGAUGUGGAGACCAGACUACUCAUGUCUGCCUACCUGUCUAUCGGAAAUGGGGGGGAGGGGAGCCAGGUAUUUGCCAAAAGCCAAAGGAAGGCUUAGAAUGGCCUUUCCACCUCUUAAUCCCAUAGAAGCCCAACUCUGGAACAGACUCCCCGAUAAAAGGGUGCAGGGACCAAAUUCUUUGGAACAACUCCAUUUUCAGUUCCCCUCUUGAACUUUUCAAACAGUAGCCUUGUGCCUUGGACCCUGAGAAGUCUCCAAAAUCCAGCUGGAACUGUUGAAACCAUUGUUCUAGAAACAAGUGUGACAGCCAAAUCCUCCGUGUACCCUGGAACACACUUUGGGCAACAUUUCUUGCCUGGCUGGGGACCUGCUGGGACCUUUCUGACAGCACCUUCUAGGCAUGGGCCUGAGGCACACGUGUGUCUGGAGCAGGAAGACCUAGACCCCCGCGGGGCAGGCAAAGACAAUCUCCUGGUCAGGGGUCCUUCAAGCUGACUCCAGUGAAGAGGACACAUGAGUGGGAACCCGGGGUGGCCCAGGGCUUCUCGGAACCGGGGUGUCCUCGGGCAGUUUUCUCUCCCUCCUAUUCCUUCCCUCUGCGACCACACCGUCUUUCCUACUUCCCUCUGCAUAUCUAGUCCACUCACGUGCCUCCAGGUUGGGUGCCUCUGCUCGCUUAUGACCACAUGUGGCUGCUGGCCCCAAGUCCAAAUAACCUUCUGACCUUCAGCACCCACCACCUUCUGACUGCCUCUGUCUUCCACUGCGUGGGUGGUUUACUUCUCAGGGAGACCACCUGAUUGGCUUAGCCUGACGAAGGUGACUCCUCUCUUCCCAUCCCCUCAUAACAGCUCAGGCCAGGGACAUGGUGGAAUCAUUGGGCACAACGAGACUGGGGAUGACUUUGGAAGGAGGAUGUCUAAAAAAGAUGUGUUUGUGUUGGACCUGUGGAAAUGGGGAAGGCGUGUUCUGGAUCUGAGCUCUUCUAUUAGGGAUACCCAGGAAGCCACAACCUAAUGGACCAGAAUCUUCUAGGAUGGGUCCCAGACAUUCUAAGAAGGUCCUACAGCAGAAACCACUGUUCCAUGUAGGAGAGAUAAAUGGCAUGUAUAGAUUUA